UACGUAGGGAGCAAGCGUUGUCCGGAAUCAUUGGGCGUAAAGCGCGCGUAGGUGGCUUCGUAAGUCCGUUGUGAAAGUCAAAGGCUCAACCUUUGAAAGCCGAUGGAUACUGGGUAUCUCGAGUCCGGAAGAGGUGAGUGGAAUUCCGAGUGUAGAGGUGAAAUUCGUAGAUAUUCGGAGGAACACCAGUGGCGAAGGCGGCUCACUGGUCCGGUACUGACGCUGAGGUGCGAAAGCGUGGGGAGCAAACAGG
rnacentral:rRNA from 1 species